GGCUGAAAUUUCUGGCAGUGCCCUGUUGAUGUACUGCUGCAAUCAUUUUUUAAUUAUCUUCAGCAUAAUUUUACUUGCAUGUGACAUUAAUGAUAUUGUUCAAUAAUUUCUGCAUUGUAUUGGAUCACUUUUCUUUGGAAUGGGCUCAAAUAUGGAUGUCUUCCAGUUUGUUGGCCAGGUAGCUGUUGUCCAGAUUUUUUUGGCAUAGGCAAGUGAUCUAUGCUUUCAGUGUUACAUUCAUUUGUUGAAACAUCUCAAUUGGUAUUCUAUUAAUUCCUAGAGGCUUGUUUUUCAGUGCAGAUUGGAUUUCUUCUUUCAGUAACAUCAGUUCUUGAUCAUAUGCUACCUCCAGAAAUGGUUGAACAUCGACCAAUUCUUUAACUGCUGUAGGAUUACCAUUCAAGCCAAAGAUCAUGUAGGAGUUAUGUGGAGGACUGAUCUAGAAAGAAUCAGGUAGGUACUGUGGGUGAACACCUUCUCUCAAUGUAUGGGAGUGAUUGAGCUACAUAUGAUGUUGGUUUCUCUCUGGUUUUGAAUCGUGACCACAAGAAGGUACUUAACCACAGAUUAACUAUUCCUGGGUUGAGAUGACUGUUAAUAAUGACAGUCAGGUGUCAGGCACUCUUUUGCAUAAAUAAAUACAUCAUGUCAAUUAAUACUUUCACUAAGGGGUAGGUGUUAUUGUCCCCAUGGUUCAAAUGAGGAAAUAGGAGUUGAGCCAAAUUAAGUAUCUUGCUCAAGGUCACAUAAGAAGUGACAGAGCUGAGCAUAGAACCUGGGCUUAACUGAUUUCACUCUAUUUAGCAUCAGCACUGGGGAAAUCAAUUCUCUUGAAUGCCCUCCUGACUUAUUUCUCAGUCCUUGGGGCAAAGGUUACCCCUAGAAUUACCUGGUUUGCUUUUUAAAUAAAUCCAGUAACCAGUGUCAAACCAAUUACAUCAGAAUCUUUGGGCAUGGGGGUUGGACAACUGUAUUUUUGUUUUGGUUUCCCAGUUAUGUGGCAAUAUGUGGUUAGUGUUAAGAAAUGCUGCCUUUCAGUUUCUCAAAAAGUUAAACAUAGAACUACCAUGUGACCCUGCAAUUCCACUCCGAGGUACAUAUCCAAGAGACUUGAAAGCAGCAACACAAACAGACACGUGUACACCGAUGUUCACAGCAGCACUAUUCAACAACAGCCGAAGAGUGGAAACAACCUACAUGUCCAUUAACAGAUGAAUGGGUAAAGAAAAUCUGGCACAUACACACAAUGGAAUAUUACUCAGCCAUAAAGAGAAAUGAAGUCCUGAUGCAUGCUACAACAUGGAUGAACCUUGAAAACGUGCUGAGUGAAUGUCUAGUGGAGCUGCCUGCAUUUGAAGGGACGGUUUCCAGGAGAGGGGGCAAGGGAUGCAACUGCAGUGGCCCCAGAUGGCAUCAUGCACUUGGCAUCCCGCACUCGCCCUUUUUGCGGACUUCCCCGCUGCAAGUGAAGGCAGCAAGAAGACAAACUGCCUUCGCAACCUCGAGAAACAGGCCGGCACUUUACUCCUAAGAAAGGCUGAGGGCAGCUACACUUGUCCUGGUGAAAGACUGGCCGUUUCCAUGUAUGGCUUCUGCUCUGAGGAACCCUUGUCAACCAAAGAUUGGCACAGGGUUUGUGAAGUGUGAGAGUGCUCCAGAGCCAACUGGAUGACAAAGUUAUCUAAAAGGCUGUGAACUUCCAUCAUAAACUGUGCCCACCACAACAUGGGAUGAUAACAGUUGAUUGACUUGACUUUAGGACAUGUUCAAGUCUCAUCAGCUGUGAGAACCUGGACCAGUAAGUGAUUUAAUAAAGGUGCCAUGAUAAAUGGAUCGUUGUGUCAACUGCUAACUCAUGAUGACCCCAUGCACAACAGGAUCUGACCACUGUGAUCCAUAGGGUUUUCGUUGGCUGAUUUUUCAGAAGUAGAUUGCCAGGCCUUUCUUCCUAGUUCCUUGUGGCCUGGAAGCUCCACUGAAGCCUGUUCAGCAUCACAGCAACAUGGAAGCCUCCACUGACAAAUGGGUGGUAGACCCACCCAUCCCUAGGUUUUACUUGGAUUCUGAGAGGGCUCUGAGAAGAGGACUGUUGGUGGCAGAAGUCCACUAAAAAAGAAAAGAAAAGAAAAAGGUGUGAAUUGGAGACACUUUGGAUCCUGGACAGUCUGUCCCACUUGCUGUGUUUUAUAGGGCAAGUGGUUUCAUCUCUGCAUCUUAGAUACUUUUCAUGGUCUAUGAAUGGCAUUGGAACAUACAACAUUAACUCUGCGUGUUGCUUGAAGAAUCAUUCUAGUAGCUUCAGAAAGCCUAGAAGUGAUGAAGCAGAACUCUAGAUGACUUCAUGGGGAAGGAAUGUGUGGCCUGGAGCAGAGUCACAAGUGACUCAGGACAGCCAGGAGAGCAUUCGGGGGUACACAAAAAGAAACUACAAGCUGGGGUCAAGAUCAGGGGUCUGAAUUUUCUUGAAUGGUGCUGGAGAACAUAGGACUAUUUGAAGCAUUGAAACCUAAUGAGAUUGCCCUGUUGUGUUUCAGACUUUCUUGGUGCUUGUGGCCCCUUCUUUCUCUCUAGUUUCUCCCCUUUGGAAUGGGAAUGUUUACCCUGUGUUGGUCCCACCACUGUACUUUGGCAGCAGAUAACGUGUAUUCUGGGUUUCACAGGCCCACAGGUAGAGAAGAAUUUUGCCCCCAGGAUGGAUCAUACCCAGAGUCUUACCUGUACCUGAUUUAGAUGAUUUAGAAGAUGAGAUUUUGGGGGCUGGAAUGGGUUAAGGCUUUCAGGGAUGCUGAGAUGGGAUGAAAGUAUUUUGUGUGCAGGAAGGACAUGAAUUUUAGGGAGCCAGAGGGUGAACUGUUGUCAACUGAAUUGUGUCCCCCCAAAAGCUAUGUUGAAGUCUUAACCCCUGUACCUGUGAAUAUGACCUUGUUAGAUAAUAGGGUCUUUCUUUGAAGAUGUUAUCAUCUACAUUAAUGAGUCCAUAUGGGAGCAGGAUGGAUCCUAAUUCUUCUGAGCAAACUCUUAUAAAAGCAGAUCACCUAAAAGAAGAAUGGAACAUUCCAGAGGGUACAGCUCAGAGACUGAGGGCCAGCUGAGUGAUCCUCGUGCCUACUUAUGUAUACUUUUUCCCAAGGACCCACAAGUAAGGUAAUGCAAGGGGAGGAAAAGCAGACACAUGGAGUGAAUGAAUGCCUAGGGAAUUACAGCACAUGGAAUAUUAACCAUGAUGAAUAUUUUAGGAGAGCGAAGCUGAAAUAAAGAGAAAAGCUGUGAGCCCUCUGAAGGAAGGUGCUCUGAGAGGCCUGGAGGUUUCUUGACUUGGGUGGAGCAUUUUAAGCAAGGGGCCCUUAGGCUUUUCUGCCCAAAGACCACCCUGGCUUGGCUCUUAUUAUUUCUCCUGUAGUUCUCUCCUCAGAACCUUCCUGGGCCAUAUGCAGGUGCCAGCCAAUUUUGACUGCAUUGUUGUUAGUUGUCAUGGAGUCGAUUUCCACUCAUGACGACUCCAUGUGUACAGAGUAGAACUGCUCUGUAGAGUUUUCAAGGUUGUGACAUUUAGGAAGCAGGCCUGUCUUCCAAGACACCUCUGGGUGGGUUUGAACCGCCAACCGCUCAGUUAGUAGUUCAGUGCUUAACCACUCGUGCCACCCAGCUGCCUCUUGACUGUAUCUCUUUGUACAGCUGGGGGGGUGGGGGAUGGGUUGAAGAGGGGAAGUGGUAUGGGGGAGGAGUGGUUACUAAUUUUGACUGGAAAAGGGGAAUAAGAGCCAUCUGUGACUUCUCACAUUUAUUUUCAUCUCACCAAUCAGCACUUCACAACACUUACUGGUUCCCAGGUAUAAUGCACAUUUAUUUAUUUGAUUAUUGCCUAUUUUAGUCACAUGAGAAAGGAAGCUCAGUACGGGCAGUGGUCUGGUAUUAUUAUUGUUGUAUCUCCUGCUCCUCAAACAGUAACAGGUACUUGGUGGGUGCCCAAUAAAUAUGGUUGAAUGCUUAAUCCCUCUUCUCACGAUCCGUCUGUCAUGGCUUGGGUAUUGCUGUGAUGCUGGAAGCUAUGCCACAGGUAUUUCAAAUACUAGCAGAGUCACCCAUGGUGGACAGGUUUCAGUGGAGCUUCCAGACUAAGGCAGUCUAGGAAGAAAGGGCUGGUGAUCUACUUCAGAAAAUUAGCCAGUGAAAACCCUAUGGCUCAUGAACAGAACAUUGUCCAGGUCACUUGCUGUGUACACGUCAUCAGGAGGGAUCAAUCACUGGAGGAAGACAUCAUAUUUGGUGAAGUAGAAGGCCAACAAGGGCGAGGGAGAACCUCGGUGAGAUGGAUUGCCAUGAUAGCCAAAAUGGUGGACUGGAACAUGCCAGGGAUCAUGAGGAUGACACAGGAUGGGGCAACAUUUUGUUCUGUUGUACAUAAAGUCACUACGAGUUGAAGCUGAUGCGACAGCAGCUAACAACAACAACAAACCCUCCUCUGUGUAAGUUUAUAGAAACAAAGCCUUUUGAGUAAAUAAUAAAGCUUCUCUUUUAUUUCUUUUCUCUUUUUCUGAGCUGCUUACCUCUCUGACAUUUUGGGCCAGCCCAACCACCACCUGGAGAAGCUUGGAGAAAGGACUGGCUUAGAGAACCCUAGGCUUAGGAUUCAGGAGAACAAACUCAAAUGGCUACAGGAGCCAGGCAGGUAAACGAAUGAACCAGCCUGAUGGGAUGGGGAUAACAGUAAACCAAGAGACUGUUUUCUGUCUAAGGAUGGUUGCCUCCACUUAGCACUUACCAAUUUUUAACAUGCCAGAAGGCAGGCCCCCUGUUCAGAGAAUAUAAAAUUUUACAAAAGAAGUUGGUACCCUGGAGUUUUAUCUAAAUACUUCGAAUAUUAAAUGUUAGCCACUAAUGAAAACCUUUAUUUUUGGAAGCAGGAUGUCUUAGUUUCCUUGAGCUGACAAGAUACCACAAAGUAGAUGGCUUUAAAGAACAGAGCUUAUCUCAGAGUUCUGGAGGCUACAAGCCCAAAUCAGGUAUUGGCUAUGGUAAUUCCUUUUGAAGGCUUUGAGAGAGAAACUGCUCCGUGCCUCCUCCCUAGUUUCUAGUGGCUGGCAGCAAUCCAUGGCUGCUUGUAGAUGUGUCUUCUCAUGGCUUCUUCACCCUGUGUGACUGUUUCAGUGUGUUCUUCCCUUUUUAUUUCUCACCGCUUUGAAGGGAUUAGCAUCCACCUUAAUCCCCUAUGACUUCUUUAAAUUACAGAUAACAUCUGCAAAGAAAAAUCCUAUUUCCCCAAACUAGGACACAUUCACAGGUACAAAAGUUAGGACUUCAACAUCUACUUUUAGGGGGACAAAGUUCAGCCCAUAAACCAAACCAAAACUCUUGCCCUCAGGGCAAUUUCAACUCAUAGCAACCCCAUGUGUUACAGAGUAGAACUGCUCCAUAGGGUUUUCUUGGCUGUAAUCUUUAUGGAAGCAGAUCACCAGGCCUGUGUUCCAAGGUGCUGCUGGGUGGUUUUGAACCACCAGCCUUUAGCUUCGUAGUCCAGUGUAAACUGUUUGUGCCUCCCAGAAACCUUAUUCAACCCAUAACAGGGAGUAAAACCAAAUGUCUUUUUGGACUGAACACAGUCCAUGGGUGGCCAGGUUUGGUUUCUGGUCUGAGCUGUCUCCGUGGGCCCUCUCUGGAACUCUCUUUUGGGGUUUCCCUUCUCCCUGCUUUCCUUGACUUUUCCCCAAGAUGAAGCCUGGCUGUCUAAGGAGCGGGAAGCUGGCGUCAACCCGGAGUUCCAGCCAUUAGACACUGCCAAGUGGGUCUUAGCCUUCGGAGUGAUUUUCUUCAUUAAGGGUCAUCUGCAGAUUGGAGGAGGGUGAUUGUACGAGGCUGUUUUGGCAUCGAGCUGAUUGUAAGUGCAGCUGCAGGAGCCCACGCUGAUUAGAACCCAGAUUCUGAAGCCAGAUGAAUUAAUAAUGAGUUGAUGGGGAGAAGGAGAGGCUCUGACAGCACUCUUGUUUAUGUUAGGAGAUGCUUUAUGUGCUUUCACUUAAAAAAAAAAAAAAGGUUUAUUUCUCUAAAUUUUAAAUCACUGAUGGGUGCCUGGAGUAAUUAAGCUCAGUUUCCCAGGGUAGAACCCUUCAGGAAAGCUCUGCACCAUUCACUGUAGUCUGCAUGGGUCUGAAAUAAAAGGAUUCUGGGUAAUCCAGGUUAUCAAAUAGGGGAGAGGGGGCACCAAAGUGUUAGUGGACGCUGUCUUCGGAGCUAUCACUUUAGACCUAAGCAGAAUUAUAUUCAAAAUAGAUUUUUCCCCCCUCCAAUUCCAGAAAAAUGCCAAAAUGCAAACCACCUAGAUUGGUAUUAUUUAAGAAGCUAUUAUCCUUGAUUAAAUUGAAGCACAACAGAAAAGGUAUCCAGUUUCUCCAGAAAUUAGAGGUAAACGGUAGUUGGGUAAGGUUAGCAUUUUGCCAAAUUCUGUGGUGGUAGCAAGUGAGCCCCAUAUUUAUUUGAAAUUGCUUGCAUUUUUAUCCCCAGCCUCCUCUACCCCCCAGCUGUGAUUGAGCUAAUUACAACCCAUGGGGAAUUAUGCGGAUAAUGGUAGGAACCAGGGAAGUAUAAAUAUGCAAUGCAAUUAGCGCCUGCUCCUUUUUCUGUGUGAUGCAAUCUUGGAGCUCGUGGGUUUGCAAAAGGCUUGGAACAAUAGGAACCAUUGAUACUCAAGCUGCGAGGGGAGUUUAUAAUUAUGAUAUAACAUCUUACCGGUCUCUUACAUGCACGGAGGUAGAAUGGAAUAUGAGUAAAUAAAAAUCAGCAGUUUUCUCCCUACAUAAUCCUUUAUAUCAAUAGCAUAUUUCCUCUCUUUUUUUCCUCCCAAAGAAGAUAGGCACUUACUCUGACAGCUUAUGUAAAAUUGAAGGACUUCAUUUCCAUGGGAAUAAACUUGGUUUGCAAUCCCUUAAGCGAGAGGCUUGCUUGGUUUUAUUACAAACUGAAGUAAGCUGAUGCACCACGCCCUCUGCCCAUGCUGUGCAGCUUCCCUUGACUUUGCUCGCUGCUGUUAUGUAACGUGGUGCCAGGAGAUACUUGAAUUUUGUCGUUUAUUCCUUAUUUGGUUAGGACUGUACCCAAGCUGGGCUGGCUUUGCGGAUAUUGGACCUGUUCGAUAGUGUCCUUAUAUUUGGUUUUAAAACUAGCAUUAUAAGAUAUAAAGAAGACCAAUAAAAUUCAUGCUAAUUAUUUAAAUUUUUAAUUUUCCUGUAAUUAGAAUGGCAUUAAAUAACUAAAAGCAUUACGACAAGUUGAAAGAAUGAAUGGGAAACCACAGAAUAAAUGAAAAAGUUUUACUCUUUAGCACCUUUAAUAUCACUUUUUCCUGUUGUUUAAGUAGAUAGAUGGAGCCCUGGUGGCACAGUGGUUAAGCACUUGGCUGCUAACCGAAAAGUCAGCAGGUUGAACCCACCAGUGAGCUCCUUGGGAGAAAGAUGUGGCCAUCUGCUUCUGGAAAGAUUAUAGCCUUGGAAGCCCUGUAGGGCAGUUCUACUCUGUCCUGCAGGGUCACUGUGUUUCGGAAUUGACUUGAUGGCAAGGGCUUUUUUUUUUUUUUGAAAUAGAUAGCUGUCAUCAUGUUGCCUGGUCCUGCGACAUCCUCGUAAUCACUGGCAUGUUUGAGUCCAUCAUUGAGACCAUUGUACCAAUCAUUUCUCCGAGGGUCUCCCUCACCCUUGCUGGCCCUCUACUUCACCAGAUAUGAUGUCUUCCCUCCAGGGGUUGAUCCCUCCUGAUGACAUGUCCAAAAUAAGUGAGUAGGAUAAUGUUCCGUUGCGAUUCAUUAGGUUUUCACUAAUUUUUGAAAGUAGGUAGCCAGGCCUUUCUUCCUAAUCUGUCUUAGUCUGGAAGCUCCACUGAAACCUGCCCACCCUGGGUGACCCUACUGGUAUUUGAAAUACUUGAGACAUAGCUUCCAGCAUCAAAGCAGCACACAAGCCAUCACAGUACAAGAAACUAACAGACAGGUAACCCCCCACCAAAAAACAAAACCCAUUGCCAUUGAGUCAAUUCCGACUCAUAGCGACCCUAUAGGACAGGGUAGAACUGCCUCAUAGGGUUUCUAAGGAGCACCUGGUGGAUUUGAACUGCCAGCCUUUUGGUUAGCAGCUAAACUCCUAACCACGAUGCCACAUCCAAGAGACAGGUAGCAGCUAUUUAAAUAAAAGGCCCCAAUUUUCAUUUCACACUUGUUGUCAUUGUUAGUUGCCAUCGAGUUGACUUUGGCUCAUGGCAGCCCUAUGUAUAAUAGCAUGAAACAUUGCCUGGUCCUGCACCAUCUUCAUGAUUGCUGAUCUGUUUGAGUCCAUUGUUGUGGCUAUUGUAUAGUGAGUUUCUACCUAGAAGGCUCAUCUUCCAGCACUAUAUAAGGCAAUAUUCUGUUGUGAUUCAUAAGGUUUUUACUGGCCAAUUUUCAGAAGUAGGUUGCCAGGCCUUUCUUCCUAGUUUGUCUUAGUCUGCAAGCUCCACUGAAACCUGUCCACCGUGGGUGACCCUGCUGGUAUUGAAAUACCAAUGGCAUAGCUUUCAGCAUCACAGAAACAUGCAAUCCACCACAGUAUGACAAACUGACAGAUGGGUGGUGGUCAUUUUGCACUGGGCAUCAUAAAUUAUGUAACUGGCUCUGAACCCAGGCACAAAUAAGUGGAAUUCAGACAUUCAUCCACGCAUUCAGAAAUCCCUUAUUGAAAACCUAGUGUGUACAUCUCGGUGCCAGAUGUAGGAGAUGCAGAGAGUGAAUGAACUGGUCCUGGCGUCCUGGACCUCAUCACCUUGUGGCGGGCGGCUGACCUGCAGUCAACUCUCAUAGAUGCUGGGGCUGUGGGACAGGCAGACCGACGUCAUAGAACAGGAGUUAGUUCUCAGCUGUGCCUGGUGAUGGCAGGGGUCAAGAGAGAAUUUGUAGAAGAGAUGAUAUUUUAGAUUGUAUCUGCGAGUUCAGACUUAUAAGACACUCAGGAAACAUUUUCUCUGUUAAGAUGGAAUCAAAUAAUUGCAACUAGCAUCUCAGAGAUUGGGGACUUUCUCAUUCUUUACUUCAUCCAGCCUCAUAGAUUCAUGAGGGAUAUUGUGCAGUCAUCUUUAUUUCCAUUUUGUAGCUGAGAAAUCUGAGAUAGUAACUAGACUGUAACUGCUAGUGAGUGUCAAAACUAGGGCCGAAACCCAGGUCAUCUGAUUCCAAAUUCUGUUUAAACUUGCCACUCGCUGUAAACUUUCUACUCCCUUUAAACUUUCCAUCCCCCUCAAUCCUCAAUUCAACAAGUGUUCCUACUUUCUUAUUACUGAUAUUAAGAAAUUAGGAAGUGAUACAAUAUUUUGCAGAAUAAUUUUUUUUUUCUUCAUACAAGAAUUUAUGUCAGGUUUCUUUUGAAGGGCAAAUUCCUUUAGUUUAUGGAAAGUAUAAUUUGCUUAAUAAAGACCAACUUUCUCUAACCGGAAUCAUCCAGGUGAGGAAUGUCGGUGCUCUGGAGUCAGUCUUGUGGUGUGGAAGGGGUACAGGCUUUGCAGUCAGGCUGGAGUUCAAUCCGAAUCCACUUUCGAAGAACUAUAUUACUUUGGGACUGUAAUUAGCCUCGUUGAGCCUCAACUUCCUCAUCUGUAAAAUGGGGAUGAUAAUGACUGCUUCAUCCACCACCUGUCUGUAAGUUUAUCAUAGCUUGUGUGUUGCUAUGAUGCUGGAAUUUCAAAUACUAACAGGGUCACUCGUGGUGGACAGGUUUCAGCAGAGCUUCCAGACCAAGACAGACUAGGAAGAGAGGCCUAGUGAUCUCCUUUUGAAAAUUAAGCAAUGAAAACCCUAUAGAUCACAACAGAAUAUUGCCUGAUAUAGUACCGGAAGAUGAGCCCCUGGGUUGGAAGACCCUCAAAAUACACAGUGGCUGCAAGAAUGGACUUGAGCAUACCAACAAUCACAAAGAUGGCACAGGUUCGGGCAAUGGUUAGUUCUGUUGUACAUGGGAUCGCCAUGAGUUGGAGCUGACUCGAUGGCAACUAAUAACAACAAAUGACUUCUUCAUAGUGAUGUCAGAGGGUUUAAUCAAAUGAGGCUGUGGAGCACCCAACAGAUGACAGGUACUCAGUAAAUGUUAUCUCCUCAUGAAAGACAAAACAAGCCACUUUUUUCUCACCUCUUUAGGGAUUUUACCAUGUGAAAUUGUUCAUUUCAUACCAGUGGGGUUAUUUUAUUUGUGUUUGAUACCUGAGAAACUUCUGUUACUUCUAACUCUCUAUUAAUGUAUUAACAAAGAAGAAAAAUAGGAUUCUUCAGUUUCAAUAUUUUCUCUGUGUUCACUCUCUAUCCCAAUAGUAAAGUCCCAGAAAUGAGUACAAAGAUUUUUUGAGAGGUAUCAGAGUCAUAGGGUCAAAUAAUUUUAUAAUCUUAAGGCAUUUUGGGGGUAAUUAUAAUAGUUUACAUUUGGAGAGGACUUUCCUCUGUGCUGGGCAGUAUUCUGAACACUUUACCCAUAUUAACUUGGUUCAACCUCACAAGGAGUCUUUUUUUUUUUUUAAAGGAGUUUUUGAGCGAAGUUUGUUAUUGUCUGUUUCACAGUUGGGAAAACCGAUGCACAAAGUUAGGUAACUUGUCCAAGGUCACAUGGGUAGUGUGCAGUGGAGCUGGGAUUUGAAACUGGGCUUUCCAGGACCCACACCCUAACCACUGUGUUAUACCCUGCCUUUGGUUGCCAACUGCCAUGAAGUUGAUUCUGACUCAUGGUAACCCCAUGUGUGUCAGAGUAGAACCAUGCUCCAUGGGGUUUUCAUUGACUGAUUUUUCAGAAGUAGGUUGCCAGGACUUUCUUCCAAGGUUUCUCUGAGUGGGCUCGAACCUCCAACCUUUCAGUUAGCAGCCACGUGUGUUAACUAUUUGCACCACCUAGGGACCCUAUCGGCUAUGCCAAACUGCCUUAAUUAUGAUAUAUUCUACCCCUCCAAUUUUACAAAUGAUAAACUGAGAUCCCAAAAGAAUAAUUGACUUGCCCAAGGUCAUACUGCCUCUUAAAUAUAGGUUCAAGACUAGAACCCGGGUAUCCUGAGUGUUCAAUCCAAGGCUCUUUCUACUCCCCCCAGAAUUACCGGCAGGACAGGCUCAUGAGAGACUCAAACUGGGAACCAGCUGAGCUAGAGAAUAAUAUUUCUAUUCCUGUGUCUUUCAUUAAAGAUGCAUGAUUUUUGUAAUUCUCUCCUUUAACAGUAAUUGCUAUGUUUUGUCUUUCAGGAAUCUGGGCAUGAGGAGAUAAGCCAAUAUAUCUGCCUGUUGAGCCUAUUAGUUAAAAAUAAUUAUAAAGAACAUGGUGAUGCUUCAGAAGCUGUCAGGAAAGAGCAUAAGUUGGCAGUCUGGAAGAGUCAUGGUGACUAAGGGAUUUAGAAAACAGAGAGGACAACAAUUAUUGGAUGACCACUGUGUCAGGCACUCAACCAGGGACUUUGCCUGUGUUUUCUAUUAACCUUCUAAAUAGUUCUGGGGGUAAAUAUUAUCUCCCCCAUUUUAAAGCUAAGAAAAUCAAGGCUUUUGAGAGGUCCAGACUGGUGAAGAAUGUUGAAUAUACCAUGGACUUCCAGAAGAAUGAACAAAUUAGUCUUGGAGGAAGUACAGCCACAAUGCUCCUUUAGAAGCAAGAAUGGUGAGACUUCAUCUUGCUUACUUUGGACACAUCAUCAGGAAAGACCAAUUUACUAGAAAAGAACAUCUUUGCCUUAGUUAUAUAGUGCUGCUGUAACAGAAAUACUGCAAGCGGAUGGCUUUAACAAAGAGAAAUUUAUUUUCUCACAGUCUGGAGGGCUAGAUGUCCGAAUUCAGGGUACCAGCUCCAGGGGAAGGCUUUCCCUGUCAGUUCUGGGGGAAGGUCUUUGUCAUCAAUCUUCCCCUGGUCUGGGAGCUUCUCAGCACAGGGACCUUGGGUCCAAAGGACACGCUUGCUUCCAGCCCUUCUCUUUUGGUGGUGGGAGGUCCCACUGUCUUUCUGCUCACUUCUCUCUUUUAUAUCUCAGAAGAGAUUAACUCCGAGAUAAAAACUAUCCUGUAGAUUGUGUCCUGCCUCUUUAACAUAACUGCCUCUAAUCCUGCCUCAUUAACAUCAUAGAGGUAGGAUUUACAACACAUAGGAAAAUCAUAUCCUGUGACAAAAUGGUGGACAAUCACACAGUACUGGGAAUCAUGGCCCAGCCAAGCUGACAUACAUUUUUGGGGAACACAAUUCAAUUUAUAACAAUCCUAUUUGGUAAAGUAGAGGGUCAUCGAAAAUUAGGACAACCCUCAAUGAGAUGAAUUGACACAAUAGCCACAAAAAUGGGCUCAAAGAAGCAACAAUUGUGAGGAUGGUGCAGGACCAGGCAACGCUGUGUUCUGUUAUACAUAGGGUCGCAUGAGUUGGAGCCUAUGCGAAGGCAACUUACAACACUAGUCUGGUACUUAAACUGGCCGGUGGCAAAGCCAGGACUUGUCCCAUGUCUGAGUCCAAGGGGAGCAGGGUGGGCUGGAUGGAGGCUGAGUGCGGAGGGAUCCUGGGAGAUGCCCCUGAUGGUCAGAGUAGUGGCUGAAUUGCUGUGGUCCAGAUAUGCUCCAGCGUUUUAAAAUGUCCUGAGCCAGUGUUUACUCCACCCCUUUCAAAGGCCUCCUUGGACUGAGGGGUGAAUCAAGAGGUGCUUCGCUGACCAUCUCAUUUAAAUUUUGCUCAGUACUACAGCGAUCAUCCAGUGUCAAUAUUCUACAGCGUGAUUUGAUUAUACUUUGUUGCCAAGGCUUUAAAAGAGGAGCAUAUCUUUUUAAAUUAUAAACAAAUGUUUUAGCUCUCUGUGUUGUUAACCAGGCUGGAUAGUGAUAAAGCUUUCCUUGAAAAAAGAAAGAAUACUGGGCUAUGUCCAUGGACUUCUGAAAUCAAUUACGCUUUUGUUAAUUGGAUUUCCCACCCCCGCCCCUUCUUUUGGCCUUCCCCUAACAUAGAAAAUAAAAUCUGGGGUUAGGCCUCUCCCACUGAUGGAUAGCACCCAGUGGCAAUGCACGCAUUUUUCACUAGUCUAUUUGUUUUUCCAGAAGCCUCUGAAUGGCCAUUACACAAGUUAAGGGACCCAGGGUCAACUUCUAUUUAUGUGACAUAUUCCUGCUAUUUGUUUAUGUCACCUGAAAAUCCAACCAGUGGAAAUGUUUCAAGAUGUCGACCUUUAAACACUAAGAGUAAAUCUUGCUUCUUUUCCAUGCUUAACAACAAAAAACAACUAACACAAUUAUAGCAGUACCUGCUACUUCACUGAAUGUUGAACACAUCCCAGGCACCCUGUUAAAUGUGCUUUAUGCAUAAUCUCAUUUAAUUUUCCCAGUGACCGUGUGAACUAGGUGGUAUUUUUAAUCUCCAUUUUACAGAUGAGGAGACUAAGGCUUAAGGAAAUUAAGUACCACGCACCAGGUCACACCUCUAGUUACUGGUGGGGAUAGAAUUUGGACUCAGUCCUUCUGUCUCUGGAGCCAAAUUCCUCAAUCUUCUUCGAAUACAUCUUUAGCAAAGAGUGGACCUUAAAAAAGCAAAGAGUGGACCUUACCAUCUCAAAUAAUCUGUGAAGCAAAGUGUUGCGUGUUUGUGAUCUUCAAAACAAAGGAGGCAGAUCAUUCAGAAAUUUUGGAAUAUUGACCUAGCUACCCAGAACUACAGUGUGACGAGGCGCAGUGACACACACAGCCUGACUCACCAGAUGGCCACCAUGACUCAGGGCCUUUAACAUUUCACCGCUGGAGAAAUCAAUCACCCAAAACCAUCAUUUCUUACACAUGCCGUCUUCCUGCUCAAGAACCUUCCCCAUCUGCCUGUAAGGUGGUUAUCAGUUGGUCCCAGUUAGCCCAGACUUCCCUGAUUUUAGCACUCAGAGUCUCCCAUCCCAACCCCUCAGUGCUGGGCAAACCAAGAUGGUUGGUUAUCCUACCUCUAAGAGAUAGUUCAAAAUCAUCGGCCUGGUUUUUUACCUCUCAUUAUCAAUCCAACUUAUUGGUCUCCUACAGGAGAGCUCUGUUCAUGCCAGACCAGCUGGCUAGCUGCCCUCCUGCAUUCUGUCUAUGCUGCUGCCAGUGCCUGCUCCAUCACACCCGCCAUGCAACAGGACCUUCCCUAGAAGGUUCCGCUUGUGCUCUGUGAGUAGACAAUGCCUGAUCCACCUCUGCUCAUCCCAUCCCACCUCUUGGUGGUCUUCUUCCUUUGUGCUCAGUGCUUCUUUUCAGGAAAAUAACAUAUGCUAUGUCAUAUUGCUUUCUAUGGUCAGCUCCUGUUUCUGCAUCUGAUUUUGGGCCUCUUUUUUUUUUUUUUUUAAUUGAACUUUAGAUGAAGGUUUACAGAACAAACUAGUUUCUCAUCAAACAGUUGGUAUACACAUUGUUGUAUGACAUUGUUUAACAACCCCACGACAUGUUCACAUUCUCCCUUCUCAACCCUAUUGCCAGCUUUCCUGUUUCCUCUUGUGAUUUUGGGCCUCUUGAAGGCAAGAACAACACCUCAUGCCUCUUUGUGUAUCUAGGGCCUGAAAAAAGCCUUGCUCAAAGGGCCAUCAAAAAUGUGUGUUGUCAGUGAUUAGAACAGGUGGCCAUCCAGCCCUUGCAUUACCUACCUUCCCUCCAAAAACAAUGGUUCUGCAUUUGAAGAGCUCUCAACCUACUGGAAUAGACACACGGCCAUGUAUAAAAACUUAUCCUUGGAUGGGCCGCAUAAUGAUGUGGCUAAAAGCACAGCCUUUGGGGUCACCUUGCCCUGGAAUUUCUACCUCUGUAAUUCACCUUUCUAAAUAAAUCACAGACAAAUUUACUUCAUUCUCGGAACCUCAUUUCUUCCACUAUAAAAUGAACAUCUUACCUCAUUUUAUAGUUGAGGUAAUUGGGUAAUUAUGGUCAUGAGAAUUACAUAAUACUUGACCCAUAGUUACUGUUAGUUGCACUUGAGUUGGCUCUGCCUCACAGCAACCCCAAGCACAACAACGCUGCACCCUCUUUAUCAUUGUUGGUAUGUUUGAGUCCAUUGUUGUGGACAUUGUGUUAGUCUAGCUCUUUGAGGGUUUCCCUCAUUUACCUUGGCCCUCUACUUUACUGCCCUCUACUUUACUUCCCUCUACUUUACCAGCCCUGGUGGUGUAGUGGUUACACAUUUGGCUGCUGAUUGAAAGGCCAGCAGUUUGAAUCCACUAGCUGCUCCUUGGAAACCCUGUCUGGCAGUUCUACUCUGGGGUAGAGAGCAAUGGGUUUGGUUUUGGUUUACUUUACCACCACCUGUCUGUCAGUUUGUUGUGCUAUGGUGGCUUGCGUGUUGCUAUGAUGAUGGAAGCUACACCACUGGUAUUUCAAAUAGCAGCAGGGUCAACCAUGGUGGACAGGAUUCAUCAGCAGAGCUUCCAGACUAAGACACACUAGGAAGAAGGGCCUGGUGAUCUACUUCAUCACGACCCCACAAUAAUAUUAAGGGUAUUCUUCAUCGAGUGCCUUGCCUACAUAAACCCAGAAGGCAAACAAAUACACCUCCCCAAAGGCACCUUUUGCACUAGUGUUAAAGACAGCCCAUGGCACCAUUGGUCCUAGUGGUCAUCAAGCUGAGUAGCCACAACUAUGACACAUAGUAAAAAAAAAAAAAAAACAAACUAGUGCCAUCGAUUAAGUACCUAGUAAAUGAUCAAUGAAAAACAUGUACUCAACCACACAAAACAUAAUGGGGAUAGACAGUUAAACAUGUGGAGCUGGGUGGGAGGAAAUCAAAUGGGUGAAAUACAAAUGGGAGCAAUUGGAGUGUCUGGAGCUUUGGGGCAGGUGUCUGGGAAGGCUUUGUGGAAGACGGAGGUAGGGAAAGGGAAAGCUGGGUAGGAGGAAAGCAAAUGGGUGAAAUACAAAUGGGAGCAAUUGGAGUGUCUGGAGCUUUGGGGCAGGAGUCUGGGAAGGCUUUGUGGAAGACGGAGGUAGGGAAAGGAUGUGGAAAAUUGUCUUUUCUUUAUCGAGCAUCUGUCUUGUGCACUAGGCAUUUUGCCUAUUGCACUUCACUGAAUCUUCAGAGCAAAGUGUAAGUUAGAUGUUAGUUCUGUAUUUUAUAGAUAUUGACUCUUUCCUGUGGUCACAGAGUUUAUAAGAGUCAAAGCUGAGACCGACUUCAAGUCUAUCUCAUUCUAGAACCUUGUCCUCACCCCACCCCUUCCUUACCCUGUUACAAGUGUGUGUGCACAGACACAAGUAUGGGUGCAUUUGAAACUCUUAGCUUUCUUUGCAGCUCCAAACAGUUGCCCUAUUUCCUCUGAUUAAAAAAUCUGUACAGGGCUGGGUUAAGACAGUCACUCCACUUGGAAAGCCUUCCCUAAUUUGUUUUGAGCAUAUUGGUUUGUGUAAAUUUAGCUUGUGUUUGGCUGUAAGGAACAGAAAUCCUGCCUGAAAACAGUUUAAACAGUGAGGAAAUUUACUGUUUCUUGUAAAGGAGGACAGAGGUAGAAAAGCCUCCAGGCACAGUACCCUAAUCCCGGGGGCUAUUGCUGUUUCUCAACAAGUCUCCAGGCUGGCUGCCCUCAGGGUUUCAAGAGAGCUGCCAUUUACAGCCCAAGCAACAGGAUUCUUCGUUCUGUGGGAGAGAGAAAAAUCUCUCUCUCAAUCAUGGGUCAAAAUAUUCCUUCUCUUCAGUCUGAUUUGACCAAUUUAGGUCGUGGGUUCAACCCUGGACCAAUAGCAUUCAACAACGUGAAUGCUUCAUGUUGACUGGCUGAUACUAAUAAGACUAAUUUCUGUAGUUCAGAUUGGUACAUACAGCAUGGAGGGGAGAAGUAAAAUUCUAAAUAUGUAACAUCUGGAGCAGUUUGGACAUGACUAAUCAGGAUAGAUAAUUUCCACAUUCUGUUGGAUCACCUUCCUUUGGAAUGGUCACGGAUAUGGAUCUCUUCCAGUCAGUUGGCCAGGUAGCUGUCUUUCAAAUUUCUUGGCAAAGAUGAGUUAACAUGCCCAGCUUUGCACUUGUUUGUUGAAAUGUCUCAAUUGGUAUUCCUUCAAUUCCUGGAACCUUGUUUUUCAUCAGUGCUUUCAGUGCAGCUUGGACUUCUUCAUUCAGUAAUAUCAGUACUGAGAUCUGUUAUUCAUGCCCAUUCCAAAGAAAGGUGAUCCAACAGAAUGCAGAAAUUAUUGCACAAUAUCGUUAAUAUCACACCACAAGUAAAAUUAUGCUAAAGAUAACUCAAAAAUGGUUGCAGCAGUACAUAUACAGGAAAAUGCCAGAAAUUCAAGCUGGAUUCAGGAGAGGAUGUGGAACAAGGGAUAUCAUUGCUGAUGUCAGAUGAAUCUUAGUUGAAAGCAGAGAAUGCCAGAAAGAUAUCUACCUGUGUUUUGUUGACAAUGCAAAGGCAUUUAACUAUGUGGAUCAUAAGAAGUUAUGGAUAACAUUGCAAAAAAUGGAAAUUCCAGAACACUCAAUUGUGCUCCUGUGGAACCUGUACAUAGAUCAAGAGGCAGUUGUUCGAAAAGAGCAAGGGUAUACCGCGUCAUUUAAAGUCAAGAAAGGUGUGUAUCAGGGUUGUAUCCUUUCACCAUACUUAUUGAAUCUGUAUACUGAGCAAAUAAUCUGAGAAACUAAACUGAGAAAGAAACUAAGGAAUAAAGAAGAACGGGGCAUCAGGAUUGGAGAAAGACUCAUUAACAACCUGCAUUAUGCAGAUGACACAACCUUCCUUGCUGAAAAUGAAGAGGACAUGAAGCACUUACCGAUGAAGAUCAAAGACUACAACCUUUAGGUAUGGAUUGUACCUCAACAUAAGGAAACAAAAAUCCUCACAACUGGACCAAUGAGCAACAUCAUGAUAAACAGAAAAUAUUGAAGUUGUCAAGGAUUUCAUUUUACUUGAAUCCACAAUCAACACCCAUGGAAGCAGCAAUCAAGAAAUGAAAAGGUGCAUUGUAUUGGGCAAAUCUGCUACAAAAGACCUCUUUAAAUUGCUGAAGACUAAAGAUGUCACCUUGAAGACUAAGGUGUGCCUGACCCAAGUUAUGAUAUUUUUAUAUGCAUGCAAAAGCUGGACAAUGAAUAAGGAAGAUUGAAGAAGAAUUGAUGCAUUUGAAUUAUGGCAUAAGUGAAGAAUAUUGAAUAUGUCAUGGACUGCCAGAAGAACAAACAUCUAUCUUGGAAGAAGUACUGCCAGAAUUCUCCUUAGAACAGAGGGUUGCAAGACUUCCUCUCAAGUACUUUGGACGUGUUAUUGGGAGGUACCAGUCUCUGGAGAAGGUCGUCGGCCUUGGUAACAUAGAGGGUCAGGAAAAAGAGGAAGAACCUCAGCGAGAUGGAUUGACACCGUGGCUGCAACAAUGGGCUCAAACUCAGCAAUAAUUUUAUGAGGAUAACACAGGACCGGCCAACAUUCUGUUGUACGUAGGGUCGCUAUGAGUCAGAACCGAGUCGAUGACACCUAACAAUAAUCAGGAUAGGUAAAGCUGUAAACAGCUAGUAAGACUGUUCAGUGUGUAUUGCUGAUUAUCAACCCUAGGUACCUAACUACAAUAAGGGUUUUGUUAAGAAGGAGGAGGAAUGGGUUCUGGGUAGCAGCUAAAGUUGACUGCUACUGCUUCUAUGUGUCUGUCUACUUGAGUGCUUGGUUGAAUGGCCAGUUAUGGCAAUCUUCAAUCACAUCUUUGUAGUUUGACAUUCCAGUAUCUGUGGCCCCAGUGACUAGGCAAUUUUUACUUUUAACUUAUUCAGUUUAAUUUAGUCUCAUUCAAAAGCUCAGCCUAAAUUUCACUUCACUUGACCUAUCCAAGUCCAACCCCCUCCUACCUAGGUAUCUGAUAACACGUCAUUCAAGUUGCAUGUGUGUUUAGUGAGAGCAAAACACAGCUCUGCUUAACACGUAGUUACUGUGAGUCAACCUGGUCCUAACUAGGGCAUCUCCCAUCUUGAGUGAAAUCUUUAAGGAGCGAUUCUUCCCUCUGGUUUACUCAUGCUUUACACAUUCUGACUAACUGGAAACAUAGGCAGCUUAAAUCAGUGAUAGGUGUGAUGACAGAAGGUCUUAACAGAUAUGCAGUUACAUUACUUCCAAGUGCAGGCAGUAACUCAAGUUAGAAUAUAGAGUGAUGUCUUGUAAAGGCUCUAACUUAUAUAGAUAAAAAUAAUUUAUAAUGGGCUUAUCAGUUCUUUGUAUUUAAUUCUUUUCUUUGGAAAUGCCUCUGACGCCUUAACCCCAGGGUGUUCUGCCAGUUACUUUAAACUUUCUUCCAGAAAUCUUCUUUGCACUAUUGAUUUAGACUAUCAAUACAGAGGCUGAAAUAAUAAGAUUUCGGCCUAUUCCUGAUUUUGCAGGGAAGAUUGAAAUUGUAUGUGUUCAUCAGGUUAGUUUUUGUACUGGACACACAAAAGGAUAUUUGGUCUUUUGGUGUUAGUUACUUGGAAAACCAGCUUGAAGGAAGAGUUAUUUUUUUUGUGGUUUUAUUUUUUUAAGGGAAAAUGUGGAAAUUUGAUCACUAGGAUAUAUUAAAUGGAACUGCAAAGGUAGAAUUUGCACACCCUGAAUGUGGACAUUCAAAUUAGGCCAGAGAAAUAACGUUCUCAGAACUGGCAGUGUGGUCAAGUUGAAAGAGCGCUAGAUCAUAAGGAAGCCUGGGUUGUGCUCCUCACUUGACAUUGAUUUGGCUGUGUGACCAUGGACCAGUUACUUAACUUCUCUGGCCCUCAACUGGUUUAUCUACAGUUUUCACUUGAUCAUCAGUGGCAAAAACUCAGGCUCACCGAGGCCAGACGGAAAAUGCAUGUGAAUAAGGAGGGCUUAGAACAAAACAGAAGCGAACAAAACUAUGAAACAUACAAAAGAACAAAACCUCAAUUUUAAUGUGAGGCUGGGGUGUUGGGGAGAAAUGGGUGUGGUGGGGACUGGGGCUGAGCACAGAGCACAUGCCCGUGUAAAGAUGGCAGCCCUUUAUUCUACCUCAAGCUGAACUCAGAUCCUAUGUGGCUAGGUCUUCCAAAUUUUAUUUAUUUAUUUAUUUAUUUAUUAAAUAGAGGCUCUCAGUCAAGGUUUGUAUGUGAAAUCUCUCCAGUUGUUAAAUAUUGGGUGAAAUAAUAAACUUGUGUGGGCCAGUACUCUGUGAACAAAAUUCUUCCCUGGGCUGAAUUCAGCAUGGGGUUGCUAAUUUGCAACUCCUAGAUAAGAUGAACUCGGAAGUUGUCCCAGGUGCAGAAUGUGUUCUAAGAGUCACACCACCAUAUAGGAGAGGUCUCAGCAGGCGUCUGGCUCACCUCUCAUGCACUAUCCCUGACGGUUGUCACCUAAACUCUGCUUAGCUGUUCCACAGACAGCCUGUCCUGCUGAGGAAGGGACUGUACUUGAAAGUUCUUUCUUGCAUUGAGAAGAAACCCCUCAUGCAACAACUCCUCUUGUUGGUCUUAAAUCUGUCAUCUGGAGCCACAGAGAACAUAUCUUUAGUCUCCUGGAAUUUUAGAUUUGGAUGUUUCUGCUACCACCCACAACACACACCAGAGAUGUUUCAUGAGCAGAGUCAGGACUUGGAAAGGCCUUCCUGGAGCACAGAACCCUGGAUGAGCUAGAGCAGGUUUCCUCAAAGAAAAUUCAAAUGAAGCCCCUUCUGUCAUCACUGGGGGCUGUUGGUGGAAGAUCGGUUUGGCGUGCUCAUGGCUGUGCCACUUCUCUCACGUGAGAGAAAUGACCUUGGAGGAAUGGGGAGGGGCUGGGGUACAGACUGGAGGUCCAUAGCUAGCCUGUUGGGAGGAAUGGGGCCUGGGGGAGGAAUGGGGAUGUGGGGCUCUACAUGUCUCCUUCUGAUUAGCAAAAAUUGAGGCUCAGCACUGAGAGAUCUUUGUUCUCUUUCCAGUUCUAGUUUCCAUCGAGUUGAUUCCAACUCAUGACAAUCCCAUGUGUGCCAGAGUAGGCCUGUGCUCCACAGGGUUUUCAGUGGCUGAUUUUUCUGAACUGGAUUGUCAGGCCUUUCUUCCAAGGUGCCUCUGGGUGGACUCGAACCUCUAAACUUUCAACUAGCAACUGAGCACAUUAACCAUUUGUUUCACCCAGGGACCGCAUUUAUUCUCCAGGAACGGUCAGACUGGGGGCAGAGGGGGUGUCAUUCUGUCCCAGAGAGGUGGCCCUGUGGCCUGUAUCCACCUCUCACCUCAUUAAAUAAGACUUCAGGACCUUUCUGCACAGAAGGACUGAACUUGGAAUCACUUUCUCCUGCCCCAGCCCCUUACCAGGCCCUGUACUACAGCAGCAGAGAUGAGCCUUUUCCUCGGAUGGAGGGAGGAAGGUGAACUUUCUCCUGCUUACAGCUGCCCACGUUAGUUCAGGGACUGUGCCGGAAGUGGGGAGCAGAGAUGUUAAGAGAAAAGGAGGGGCUCAGCUACUGUUCAGAGCUAUUCUGUGUGUGUGUGCGUGUAUGUGUGUGAAAUGCUUCCUUCUAAAUGUGACUCAGCACUACGGUGGAGUCUUCAUGACAUAUAGAGGGGACAAUCUUUCACAUGCUCUGUGAUUCCACCCAUAAGACCAGAACAGGGAAAUUAACUAGGUGUAAUAAAUAAUAUAGAAUCUGGUGAAUAUUUAGGGUCUGGUAAUGAUGAUAAAUCAGGUUUGAAAUGUUCCUUGAGGAGAUUGUGAGAUUCUGAGAAAUGAAGCCAGGAAGAUUGAUUAGAACCUAUUGCUGCUUGGAAAACCUACCACGGGAAUUCAGGGAGGUAUUUCUAAGCUAAUAGGAAAGGUGAAUACAAUCCACCUUGGCCUCUAAAAACCAAAUGGAUGUAAUCAACAAAUGUCAUUGCUUUUACGGGUGAAUGCAUUGGAGAGCAAGCAACACCCCAGAACAGCUGGGGAGUGUUGAUUUGAUGGGUGCUGGCAAAGAAAGAACACAUUAUGCUUUGUCUAUGGUCCUCCUUUCCUCCAGACCCUGAGUGAUUGAUUGAUUUGUUCAUUUGUUUGUUUUUUCAUCUGUCCAAUUUUAAGGGAAGACCCCCACGGAAGAAAUAGAGUUCAUGUUUUUAAGAGUUUGUGCUAUCAGAAUUUGUUCCUUUUAGGGAUCACAUACUUGUUUUUUAGCUCUUGGUUUGAAGAUUCAUGUCUCACAUUUGGGGCGGAAGCUGUACCGGGUGGUAGGAUUACAUUAAAUGCUUUACUGAUUAAAUCAUUCCCUCCACACUCCCCCAAAUCUGACCCAACGUGGUGAGUGAAGCUAACAGUAUUGUCAAUUUGGAAGUCAUCUGGGGAGAGAGUAGCCUUAAUCUUAAAGUUAAAAAAAGGAAAAAAGAUAAAAAAGCAGGUAAAGUCUGGACUGUUUGUGAAUGAGAAGGAAACAUAAAGAAUGAAGGCAGGUGGGGAAGACCUGUAGUUAGUAGUCAGCAGAUUAGGGGUACAUUUGUGAUAUUACAGGAAGAGUAUGGCUUUGGGCUGUGCUGGGCCUGGUUUCACAGUCAGCUGUGUUACCUUGGGUGGGUUACUUAACUCCUCUGGCCCUCAGUUUCCUCCUGUGUAAAAUGGGGAAGAAUAAAUUGUAUCUCACAGGAAUUAAAGGAGAUAAUGUUUGUUGAUUGCCUGGCAUUGAAUCUGGCAAUCUGAACCUGAAUCUGGUUCCCUUCUCCCCAGCUGGUGGCCUACUGUCUUCACAUGUACCUGUGCACUCCUUGGCACAUAAAAGCAUUUGAUAUUUGUUGUUGAAUGUACAGAGCCAAGGAAUCAGAGAGGAGGGCCUCCCUCAACAGGCUAUUGGUCUCUUUUGUUUGGAAACUCGCGUAAAUUAUGGGAACCUGGUUGAACAUCAGGAGUCCCUGGGUGGCACGAAGAGUUAAGUGUACAUCUACUAACUGAAAGGUUGGCGGUUCAAAUCCAUCCAGAGGCACAUUGGAAGAAGGGCCUGGAGAUCUACAUCUGAAAGAUCAUAGCUAUUGAAAACUCUAUGGAGUGCAGUUCUACUCUGAAAUGCAUUGGGUCAUCAUGAGUCAGAAUCAACUCAACUGCAACUGGUUUGGUUUUGGUUGGUAGAACAUCAUGCUGCAGGGAAGGUGUGUGGUGGGAGACAGAGUCUUUACUUAUCUUCUGCACAUGUGCAUGCCACACACACCAUGCCAGGCAAAGCUAGGUUAGUACGUAUUCCACUACCUUCCCUGUAUUCUGUAUCCACUCCCCAAAGUCAAGAGAGACGAUGGUGGUGAACUAGGUACCAAAUUGGAGUAGAGACUUACGAUGUUUUUUCUUUCC